rnacentral:rRNA from 1 species
GGGGGAUAUUGCACAAUGGAGGAAACUCUGAUGCAGCAACGCCGCGUGAGGGAAGAAGGUCUUCGGAUUGUAAACCUUUGUCCUUGGUGACGAUAAUGACGGUAGCCAAGGAGGAAGCUCCGGCUAACUACGUGCCAGCAGCCGCGGUAAUACGUAGGGAGCGAGCGUUGUCCGGAUUUACUGGGUGUAAAGGGUGCGUAGGCGGCUCUGCAAGUCAGGCGUGAAAACUAUGGGCUUAACCCAUAGACUGCGUUUGAAACUGUGGGGCUUGAGUGAAGUAGAGGUAGGCGGAAUUCCCGGUGUAGCGGUGAAAUGCGUAGAGAUCGGGAGGAACACCAGUGGCGAAGGCGGCCUACUGGGCUUUAACUGACGCUGAAGCACGAAAGCAUGGGUAGCAAAC